GCAUGACACGAAGACCCGGCAGAAUGCGUGGCAGAGAAGGGCCCCUGUUGCCCCACACUCAAGCCUGGAGAAGACGCCCUGGGAUGUGGGGCAGGAGAGCCCGAAGGCGGCUAAGAAUCGGUUCGAUGCCGGAUCACAUUCCAUAAUGGCUCAAAAACCAUGGAGAACUUGUCGAGACCUAAAGUUCUAGGAUUUUAUUACAGACUUGGCAUGAUCAUCUAAGAGGGCCACUGAGUGACUGACACAGACGCAUUUUCAUCCCAGGGGAGACUACAGUAAUGAAGCUCCAUAAAAACCCCAAAGGACCGGGGACGCCCCGUGCUGAAUGCGCGGAUGUUCAGACGAGCUGAGUGUGUGCCCGGAGAGGACUGGGAAGCUCCGCGCACUCGCCCCAUGUGUCUCUCCCGUCGGGCCCAUGCCCGAGUCAUGAGAGAAUGCAGCGCGGCCUCCUGAAGAGCCGUGCUCUUCAAAGUCGGCAACGCCAGUGUGAUUAUUAAAAACACCUGCCUGUCCAUGGCCGUUUGUAUCCGGUGUCUUCUCACCUGGCCACACAUCGCUUCCAGGCUCCUUCUCUGUUCCUCAUGCUCCCUGACGGCGUCUUUGUGCACAGCUCCCCUCGGGAGAUAUUAAGUGAGUUGGCCUAGGAGAGUUUGACCACUCUG